GGCCCGGUGGCGGAUGGUCCGCACCUGCAAGCUAUUCAAAAAAACUUUAACACCCUGCCUUUGUAUGCAGGAUGCGCUCGUUCGAAUCGAGCUCAGGCCA